CCUACGGGAGGCAGCAAUUAGGAAUCUUGCGCAAUGGGCGAAAGCCUGACGCAGCGACGCCGCGUGACUGAUGAAGUCUUUCGGGAUGUAAAGGUCUUUUGCAGGGGACGAAGGAAGUGACGGUACCCUGCGAAUAAGCUCCGGCUAACUACGUGCCCGCAGCCGCGGUAAUACGUAGGGAGCGAGCGUUGUCCGAAUUUACUGGGCGUAAAGCGCGCGUAGGCGGGUUAGUAAGUUGGGGGUGAAAUGCCGAGGCUUAACCUCGGAACUGCCUCCAAAACUGG
rnacentral:rRNA from 1 species